CUAUGUGAAGAUCAAUAAUAAAACCGGUUUUUGAUAUGGAUCUUCAUUUUAUACACAGCAUGUGCAAAUAUUUGCUUAGACACAUCUAGUCUAGAUGAUUGCUAUGUGUUGUGACGAAUGUUCAUAGAUAGCGAAAUCAACUUUUCUGGACAUUCAAAUAAACAACAAGUACAUGGCAUUCAUUCUUCACAGCUUUUAUAUAACCCAAAACGUAAUUAUUGACGAUUCGUAUAAACAAAAUGUUGCGCAAUUUGCAUAUGCAGAAAAUAAUUUUUGUGGAUUAUCAACCAAAUGUAUCCACGAGCUAUUUUAAACAUUCUCGGCCAGUCCCUCCAACUGGCUGAGAAAGGAAAGUCAAAUAUGGAAAAUAACAGAAAGAAGGAUAAACCAUGCUGCUGUCAUAUCGAAAAAGAAAAGCUUUAGGGGAGGAGAUCCAUGUCAAAUAUGCAUACUGAUGCAGAAUGGAUGAAUAAGCAGCAGCUUGAAUGCAAAAGCAGUUGAUAUGAAGAGUGCAAUCAAUCCUCAUAACUGAGAGCCAUAUCAUGGUUUCACUUAAUUGUCAUUUCCGAAUUGAGGAGUAGAAUUUCAAUAAUAUUCAAAAGUAUGGAAACACCUUUACUGGUAAAGCUUACUCUAUGAAGCUGGAUAAUAAUAUGUUACAAAGCUAGGCCAAACCAUCAUUUAAGCAUUUUUUUCAUGCCAAUCGCAAAAUAUGGCCAAAAAAAAAAUAUCUACGAUUCAGAAAGUUGACCAAAAUUCUAUUAU